UGGGGAAUUUUGGACAAUGGGGGAAACCCUGAUCCAGCCAUCCCGCGUGUGCGAUGAAGGCCUUCGGGUUGUAAAGCACUUUUGGCAGGAAAGAAACGUCGCGGGUUAAUACCCCGCGAAACUGACGGUACCUGCAGAAUAAGCACCGGCUAACUACGUGCCAGCAGCCGCGGUAAUACGUAGGGUGCAAGCGUUAAUCGGAAUUACUGGGCGUAAAGCGUGCGCAGGCGGUUCGGAAAGAAAGAUGUGAAAUCCCAGAGCUUAACUUUGGAACUGCAUUUUUAACUACCGGGCUAGAGUGUGUCAGAGGGAGGUGGAAUUCCGCGUGUAGCAGUGAAAUGCGUAGAUAUGCGGAGGAACACCGAUGGCGAAGGCAGCCUCCUGGGAUAACACUGACGCUCAUGCACGAAAGCGUGGGGAGCAAACAGGAUUAGAUACCCUGGUAGUCCACGCCCUAAAACGAUGUCAAACUAGCUGUUGGGGGCCUUUCGGGCCUUGGUAGCGCAGCUAACGCGU
rnacentral:rRNA from 1 species